rnacentral:piRNA from 1 species
UAAAUUGGCCUGGUCCUAGCCAUAAGGGA